rnacentral:rRNA from 1 species
AUGGGGUCGGCGAUCUCCAGAUGUGGACGCGGAGGAGAGGGACGGGCUCACGCGGAGGAGGCCCGCGGGUGGGGGGCGCGGAGGAGCUCCGGCGGUGGACGAGGCGGACGGGUCGGCAGCUGGGCGGAGGAGCUACGGCGGUUUAGGAGGACGGCGGCCCGGCGGCUGGGCGGAGGAGCUCCGGUGGUGGAGAGGCUCGGGGGAGGAGCUCCGGCGGUGGAGGAGGACGACGGCCGGCGGAGCGGUGGAGGCGUCCCAAGGAGGCCGACGGACGGCGGCAGGGUGGAGGCGUCCCGCGCUUGGGAUUCGCGGGUUUACGGCCACGGCGAGCUCUUCUACUGUCCCAUGUGCAUGGAGCUGGUGCCCAUCAACCUCAAAUCCAGCUUCGGCCCGUGCGGCCACGCCUUCUGCUCCAGCUGUGUCACCAUGUACGUCGCCGUGAAGCAGCGCGAGCGCGAGGACGUUGGUCGCGUCAAGUGCCCCGACUGCGAGAACGGCGUCCCCGUGUUCGUCACCGAGGGCGGUGGAGAUUUGCCGGCGGACGGCCACGGCGAGCCCUUCGACUGCGCCAUCUGCAUGGAGACGGUGCCCGGCACCCUCAAGUUCAGCGUCAGCUCGUGCGGCCACCCAUUCUGCCGGAGCUGCGUCGCCCAGUACGUGGCCGCGAAGCUGGAUGACAAGGUCGCUCGCGUGGAAUGCCCUCAUCCAGGCUGCGAGGCCGGCGCCGUGGAGCCGGAGAGCUUCCGCGGCAUCAUCCCCGCGGACCUCCUCGACAGGUGGGGCUUCCUGCUGUGCGAGCUCGCGGUCAGCGCCAAGAGGGUGUACUGCCCGUACCAAGAAUGCUCGGCGCUCCUGCUCGCGGACGCCGACACGAAGGCCAUCACGGAGGCGGAGUGCCCGCACUGCCACCGGCUCUUCUGCGCCCGGUGCGCCGUGCCAUGGCACGGCGGCCUGGGGUGCAAGGAGUUCCAGAACCUCGGGCAGGACGAGCGCGGCCGGAACGACCUCCUGCUCCGGCGCCUCGUCGGCAGAAAGGGAUGGCAGCGGUGCCCCAAGUGCCGGAUGUUCGUGGAGAAAUCGGAAGGCUGCAAUUACAUGAAAUGCAGGUGUGGAAACAGUUUCUGCUACCGAUGUGCAUCCAAGUUGUCAGCGCAAAACCAUUACUGCAAAAAGUGCAAGCGCUAA